GGCGGUGUACAUAAGACAUGCAAGUCGAACGGGAGAAGACAGGAAGAUUUAUCUACUUGUUGGACACCGUGGCGGACGGGUGAGUAACACGUAAGCAACCUGCCUAUAAGAGGGGAAUAACAGUGAGAAAUUACUGAUAAUACCGCAUAAGCUGAAGGUAUCGCUGAUACAUUCAGAAAAGAUUUAUCGCUUAUAGAUGGGCUUGCGUCUGAUUAGCUAGUUGGUGAGAUAACAGCUCACCAAGGCGACGAUCAGUAGCCGGAUUGAGAGGUUGAACGGCCACAUUGGGACUGAGACACGGCCCAGACUCCUACGGGAGGCAGCAGUCGGGAAUAUUGCACAAUGGAGGAAACUCUGAUGCAGUGACACCGCGUAUAGGAAGAAGGUCUUAGGAUUGUAAGCUAUUGUCGUGUGAGAAGAAAAUGACCAUCACAGGAGGAGCCCUG
rnacentral:rRNA from 1 species